AAUUUCAGCAAAAACAGAGUCAAAAUCCUCACACUUUCCCAUCAAUGGACCUUGUCAACGGGUUUCACACACGGCAGGAGAUAUACCAGCUGCAGAAUACAGCCCCAACCAAUUGUGGUGACUAUGCAUUUCUGUUUGUGGUAAAGUAUUGUUAAGGACCUGUUUCUGCUAGAUACAGAAAAGGCGAGCUUGUCUCAACGGAAGUUAUUCCCCCUCCUGCCUUCAUGUAGCCUUCUGUAAGCAGUGUUCCAAAACCAUGGAAAUGCAGAUUUUGGGUGGCUGAAGAAACUGAGUAAUAUCAUUCCUGAGAGCAAUCAGUAGUUUCCUUUCACUUUUAAGUAAUUACUGGGCAGUGGCAGACUUUGGCCUUUCGAAUUUCAGCAGUGCCCUGUGCAAUGCCAAAAUUUGCGCCACCACCUCUCACCUUCCAUUGUACAUCAAUUUUGCGGUACCCUCUUAGUUCAGCACCGAGUAUGGGAAAACUGGCUAUGUUCCCCUAAAUCCUCCUCUGUACUGAGCCACUGAGCAGAAAGAAGUUUUCAAUUUCAAGUUUGUGUUUUCCUAACCACAUUUCUGAUGUCAAACUGAGCCCACAUCUACCAAGGUACCAGCAAGCAACUGAUUAAAAUGGAAAGCCAUUGAUCAGGGGCUCCCAAACUUUGGUAUGUGGAUCACUAGUGAGUGGUCCAUGAUAUAUAUUUUUGAUAUUUUUUAAUUAUUUUUUCUCAUAACAAAUAUCCAAUAUCAUUACUUAACAUUCAUUUUCCAAUUUCCUCCCUCCCUGUGACUUCCCCCAACUUCCAUUUCUGGUUUAUAACAUCAAAUGUUACAUUCUGCUGUUUGUACAUAAUACUAUGUUAUCACCUGUUAUAUUUCUUGUUCUCUGUAAAUGUUUAUUUAACUCCUGCCAAUGAGUCCAUUUUUUUUUGUUUCCGCAAAUAAGUUGUAAAAGAUUCCCAUUCUUUUCCGAAGUCACUAUUGUCCUUUUCACACAUUUUAUCUGUUAACUUUGCUAACUCUGCAUAGUUCACCAACUUUUCUUGCCAUUGUUCUUUUGAUGAUCUUUCUCCAGUCUUCCAAUUCUGUGCUAUUAAAAUUCUUCCUGCUGUUGUAGCAUACAUAAAUAAUGUCCAAUUUUCUUUCAGGAAUUCUUGUCCUAAAAUACCCAAGAGAAAGACUUCUGGCUUUUUUAACAAAGGUUAUUUUAAACAUUUUUUUCAGUUCAUUGUAUAUCAUUUCCCCCAAAAUUUUUAUGAUCUUGCAAUCCCACCACAUAUGGUAAAAUGUACCUUCCCCUUCUUUACAUCUCAAACAAUUCUUUUGUUCUGUUUUAUACAUUUUUGCCAGUUUUAAUGGAGUAAUAUAUCACCUAUACAUCAUUUUCAUGUAAUUCUCUUUCAACAAUAUGCAAUCUGUAAAUUUCAAAUUCACUUUCCAAAGCUUUAUGCAAUUGUAUGUUGUGACCUAAAUCCUGUGCCCACUUAAUCAUUACUGAUUUGACUUCCUCAUCUUUAGUUUCCCAUUCCAACAGAAUAUUAUACGCCUUCUUUAAUAAUUUGGAAUUAUCAUCUAUGAUAUCCUUUUGGAAUUUAGAAACUGUGUAAGUGAAUCCUCUCUUAUUAUCUUCUUUAAAGAUUUCAUUUAAUUGCCUGUAGUGCAACCAGCUCUGAAAGUGUUCCUUUAUCUCAUCAUAAUCUUUCAGUUUCAACUUUCCUUCUUGUUCUAUUAGUAAAUCUCUAUAUGUUGGCCAUGUUCCUUUCAUUUGUUAACGUUUUAAAUGAUAAUGCGUCAAUGGGUGAGAGCCACCACGGGGUUUUGGAUUCCAAUGAUUCGAGUGGUCCAUGAUCUUAACUCAGGUGGUCCAUGGCAUGCCUGUGGAUUUGUGGUUGGAGACGGGAGACAUCCGUUGCAUCCAUACUGGUUUCUAAUUGUAUUUUUUUAUUGCUUCUUUAAUCUCUUGCAGUUUUGUCUCUAUUACACUUUGAAAUAUAUGGAAUUACAAUUGCUACGACAGGCAAUAAAUACAUAAACAUGAAGUGGUCCACCAAGACCCUUAGCAUUUUUCACAUGGUUCAAGGAGGGGAAAAGUUUGGGGUCCCCUGCCAUAAAUGACUCUUAAAACUUGUGGGGUGUGCUGAAAUUGACAGAGAGGUCCAGGGGUGAUGGUGGCGGCAGACAUAUCAAAAGCAAUUGAUAAAAAGCACUCCUAACCCAUCACUGCUGUCUGAGCAUCCAAGACCACAGGGAGAUGAAGUACCACUCCUAAAUUGUACACUUGACUUUUCAAAGAAAUUGUGAUCCUGUCCCAGAAAGGUUUAUGUACCUCUGCCAGAUUACAUAGGUCUCCUGUCUGAAGUCCUGUCUGAAUUCAAUUUCAGUUUGUUUAUUUAUUUACGAUCUUCCAAUUUAGAUUUUUACUGAAUUUUUUUAAAAAAAUUAUAUAUUAGCUUCAACUUUGAUAUUAAUUCGCUUUGGCAUUUUGACUUCCAACCCUUACUUCUGUGCUGUUUUUGUUCCCACCCUUAUUCCUACUGCAUUAUACAGUACAUUAUACAUUUCUCCAAGACAUCUCCUCUGUUACAUUUAUUAGCAUUUCAGCUUAUUCAGACUCACUCAGUUUAUCACUGGUUAGGUCACCAACCGAUGCACUCAGAUGAUAUGUACAAAAAAUUAAAUCUAGAACUUGGUGUCAUCAGUCUCUCCCAUCAAGGUACACGAAAUAAAUUCGGAGGCAUGAUAGCACCUUGCAGUAGUCCAUAGAGCCAUUCCCCACAAGGAACAAAAGAGUCUUAGCACCAGCAAGGGCCUUCUCUCUGUUGACAUCCUAACUGCAUCUGGCAGCAAUUCCUUUUCUUUGUUAGUUUUGGUAUCAGCUAGAAACAUGGUUUGUUCGGUGUGUGUUUUUAGCUGCUCAGUCCAGGUACAUUUUAAAGGUUUUUGGAUAGCAUUUCUUUCUUUCAUUUGCUCUCUUAGUUGUUGCCUUUUGAAAUUGUUGUAUUUUAAAUGGAAUGUCAUUGUAGCCUGCGAUCCUUUAUGAUGAAAGGUGGGUUAGAUAUGUUGUUGCAUAUAAAUGAAUAAACUUCUAGUACCAACCAGAAACUAAGCACUUAAACAUCUCUGUGUUUACUCAGAAACAAGCCCUGCUAUAUUCCGUGGGGCUUAAUCCCUACUAACAGUACUAUCUUAUGUUGUUGUAUUCAGAAGCAAGGACUUACUCCUAAAUAAGUGUUAUAAGACUGCACCCCCUGGCACUCAAGAUGUCAUGACUAAUGAUGAUGAAAAAUGCCCCACAGAUGUCCAGGAGUAACAAAUCCUAUCAGUUUCUGGAUGGUUACUGUCUACAAAUCCAUGAGUUUUUAAGUCCACAUCACUGACCAUAUCGGGCAACACUGCAGAAUUAUACUUGGGAGGAAAGGCCUUGAUGUAAUGCAGGCAAUCAUUAGAAUCCUACAGAUCCAUCUGAUAAUGACUACAGUGGUACCUUGGUUCCUGAACGGCUUAGUUGUCGAACAAAUUGGCUCCCGAAUGCUGCAAACCUGGAAGUAAGUGUUCCGGUUUGCGAAUGUUUUCCAAAACCGAAUGUCCGAAGUGGCUUCUGCCUGAGUGCAGGAAGCUCCUGCAGCCAAUCGGAAGCUGCACCUUGGUUUUUGAACAGUUUCGGGAGUCAAACGUACUCCCAGAACAGAUUAAGUUUGAGAACUAAGGCUCCACUGUACAUCACUCCUUAUGCUUCAUUCGUUUAUGGAAUGUAGGCUUACAAACUUAUGAUAAUAAAUAUGUAAUAUCUUUGGAACUUUUCCCAAGUUCAGUUCUCUAUUUUCUUUCAGUACAUUUAUAUCCUACGUUUCUUCCAUCAUUGAAUUCAAAGUGCAUAUAUGGGAUUCUUUGAUGGUCUCCCAUGCAGGCACUGACCAGACCCAGACCUGCUUAACUUUGGCAUGGUGACGGCAUCGUGUGCCUUUGGGACCAUUCAGAACAAGUUUUUUUCUCUUCCUUCCUUUUCUCUGUAUAUGUAAGCAUACAUAAAAUCUAUAGUUUUCUGUCUGCACAUUUAGGAGUUGAGAUAUUCAGCUUUCAUUGGCACAGAACUCUAGUUGCUUCAGUGCAAGAUUUAUAUAUUUUAAGUACAGAGUAUAUGCCCAAUUCAAUUUCUGACCUUUUGCAUCCAGAGUUUUAUUUAGAACAAUUAGACAACUGAGAUUGGGGACACCCAGGUGACAAAUUGUAUUUCUAUGAUAAGUCGGGGUCUUCUUGCCAGCUGGCAGAGAGUAUUGUUGUUCUCCUGUCUAGGAAAAUGAAACCGAUGGGAAAGGGGAUGCAUGUGAUAGGAGCCCAGACAGCUCAUAUAAGUGAAUUUUGACUGCUAAAGACAACUCCUUUAGAUGGCUGUUCAAAGUGGAUGUUAUGCUUGCUUGUGCAUUGCACUGAUCCAAGCUGUCUCUGCACAGGUAUAAGUGUUUGUGUGAAAAAGUGUACACUUGCUGACUUUUAUAGCUCAGCUGUUGUGUAUAUAAGUGCACAGACCCUACACUUGUUGAAAGCUACAGGUGAACAGCUCAAUUGUUGUGUACAAAAGUUUAUACUGUAUUUGAAUGUAAUAUGUGGACAGUCCUUUUAAGUUCCUUUUAACUCAUUCCAUCAGCAAAAGGAUUUUCACUAGGGCAAUACAACUCCCCCACUUCCUCUGCAUGUGCCCGAAAUUUGUUCUAACCCUCCAGAGCAGAUUUGGAGAGGGCCCUGGACAAGUCUGAGGAGAGGUGGCAGAAAUCCUUGCCCUAAUGGAAGCAGUUAGUUGGAUGCCACCAUUGGUUUGCAAAAUUAUUAUUAGCUACCUGUUGCAAAAAAAGGGUGAGCUUAUGAGAAAGCCAUCUUUGGUUAUUGGGGCCUCUUGAAUAUUGUUUUUUAAGUCUUCACACUGUUUUGACACAGCUACUGGAGGAAAUUAAAAGUGAUAACUGAUUAUGCUUUGAUUUUACAUAAUCUACCUGGGGAAAGGUGCUGAGCCUGAGGUAUUUCAGAAAAAGGAGAAUAGAUUAUGAAAAGCAGGUGUGAGAAACUGAUUCUGCAGGAAGAUUAUAAGGGUUUAAAACACAGAGUGUGUAACACAAGCCGAUAUAUCACAAUGCCUAAUAGAGGGACUAACACCACAAUCCUAUGAAUUUGAAUUCAAUGGGUUUUGUCCCAAAAGUACUACUAUUGGUACCUCCCUAACUUGACUGGAGACCAUAUUCAAUAAACACAACUCCAUCACUGAGAAGGUCACUCACAACCUUUCUCACCUCUGAAGGGAGGGCUGUGUUCUUCAUCUAGCAGUACAAUUCAUAUUUCCUUUAGGUGGGCUGAGCCUGUAAUCUGUUCACACCGGCAUGCACAUCUCUAUGUCUCAGGCAAUGAAGGAGGUAUCAGCACAGGCUCUGAGCCAGACUGAUUGGUGGACACCUCGUUGAAGGCUGAGCCGGUGCUGGGAGUGAACUGGCACAGGAGUUGGAGGUGAGGUGAAACCCAGAGUGCCUGGGUCACAUGGGCGCAGAUGGGACAUACUGCUGGGACUCUCCCCAGGAUCCAAAUCCCCACCUGUUACCUCCUUCCUGGGUUGCUCCUCUGUUUCUCAUGACCCUUGACGCAGCCUAUCCCAACCAGCUUGGUCCCUCCCUGAGGAUGUCAAAGGGUAACCCUUCCAACUCCUCCCAUCCCUCAUCCUUAACCCUUCCAGCCCCUCAAAGGCAUCUCCUCAGGACUCAUGUCAAGGUGUCUAGAGAAGGGCCUCUACUGUAGAUCUUCAUGGCUAAGUCUUCCCAAUCUUUAUAAAUGGUACAGAAGGAUAUCAUGGUCAAUAAGCUGAAAAGCAACCGAGGGACCCACAAAAACCAAUAGGUCAUGAUCCUGCAUCUCUCAGGGCAAGUUGCCAACUAGGGCAGUCUUGGACCUUGGAUCAUGGACCUUAUCCUGAAACCAGAUUAAAACACACCCAGGUAAUCUAUCACAUCCCAAACUGCCUGAAGAUAUACCAAUGUCUGCUUGACCAAUUUGGCCAGGAAUGGCAAAU